rnacentral:lncRNA from 1 species
AAACAUUAAAGUAACUUUAAACAAAUUAAACUGGAUUAUUUCUCCUCCUUCAAAAUACACCACUUUCAUCUUCUUGAUUCCAAACUUUAAAUAAUAAUUCAACAAAUUAAUUAAGAAAAAUAAAACAUUAAACAACAUAGUGAUGAAACGGCCAACGUCGUCAAGAUGGCGACGGUCUACUGGUGAGUACGAUCGUAACUGAAUCUUCACAGAAAGUGCAGAGGUCUAUGGAAGUGCUCCCUCUGCUGGGAUCCCAGGACCAAUGGAAUGUUGACACCUGCCUCUUCUCGCAGAUUAUGUACUAUAAGAGUAUAGAUAGGAUCCUGAGCAGAGCUCUAAAAGAUGGGACCCGGAAGAUGGUCAGGAAGAGAGGCCCCACACUCUUUGCCCUGCUCCGUAAUGAGAAAGACCCGAUAGCAGAAGAUAGAAAGUGAGGUAUAUAUUCGAUCCCUAUUUAUGAUAAUGAUGAGGAUUGUACGCAAUACUAUAUUGGAAGUACUAAGAGAUGUCUGAGUAAAAGAACAUAAGGUGGACAUACAGGCAGGGAGGCUGACCAUGGCAUAUGAGCAAGAUGAUGUUAUUAAGUGGGAUGAAGCUUAUAUAGUAAGACCAGUAUGGAAUGUUAGGGGCAUUAAUACCCUAGAGGUGAUAGAACUACAAAAAAGAAGGUGCUCCCAAGAUAUUAUUAAUGAUAAAGAACCUGUGGCAUUGCUCCCUUCAUGGAAAUGGUGUGCUAACAAUGCGAUAUAGGCAGGCAUAAUAGUACUCCCUAUGGCCAUGUAUAAUUGGUCUAGCACUACAACUAGAAGGUUGCUUUAGAAGCUCGUUUUAUAAUGUUAAGUAAAUUAUAGUUUUGUUAUGUACUGUAUUUUGUUUUGUAGAGUAUUUGUUCUGUAUUGUGUAUUGUGAUUGUGCGGAUGUUUCGGUCAGAUGUGCUGUUGGCUGCUGUGACCGGUGGGCCCUGAAGGAUUUUUUGAUUGUGUUUUUUGUUUGUGAUUUUGAGGGGAAGUCUGUUGUUCGGGAUUUUGGAUCUGUAAAGGAAUGUUGUUCGUAACGUCUAGGGAUAUCAUUUGGGUUUUGUUCUUUUUUGUUUGUUUCUGUAUUAGUGGAGUGUCGUGCUGAGGGGGAGCCAUUGUAUGGGUCCAGGAGCGUUGUACCGGAGUAGAGGCCGGUUUGCUUACUGAUAGUGCUUGUUUUCAACAUAUUAUUAUUUAAGAGCAAAUUGUUUGUAUAUAUGUUAAACACAUUACUAAAUGGAAUGGCUAAAUGAAAUUUGAGCAUACAUUAAACAUAAAAAAAGAAAUUUAAGGCUAUAAGUAAUAUUUUUACCAAAGAGUAAAUUGUUUAAUGAAUUUUUUCAUUUGCAUUUUAUGAAAAUUCAGCAGAAAUAGAGG